UGUUUUGGUUUUAACUGCUGUGUCCCCAAUACCUGGAAGUGAACUUCUGGAAUCUAAUAGAUGCUGAAUAAAUAUUUUUUGCAUGAAUGAUAGUGGUAUGAGAGGAAGAGGGGAAAAAAGGGGGGAAAAGGCUUCUUGGAAGAGGUGACGUUUGAGGAUAUAUUUCCAAUUAAAUAUACCUAAGUGACUCUGCCCACCUCUGCAACCCAAUGUCACAUUCGAAUCUUAUUGAACUACUUGACUGCAUUUCCCGAGAUCCCACCUCUUCUCGCCUGUACCCUGUGCGCGGAAAGUCAGCCCUCCACCUUCUCCCUGCUUCCACUCCCAAAAUACUUCGUGCUUCUGCAGCUCUGGAGUAUUUACCGUGUUGGCUGUUUAAAUUUCUGCCUCCAUCAGAAGGCAGAAACUGACUCGCGAACUAUUCCAUCCCCAGCCGAUAGUAGACGCUUAAAAAAGAACGAAAGAAGGUGGGUGGAGGACUUCAGUAACAUCAGGUGGCAGCCUCAAUUUUAUCGUUUGUGAAACGUGGAUAGUAAUUCCUCUAUCACAUGGCUGUUGUACGAAUUAAAUGAAAAAAAACAUAACACGCUAGCUUGUUCAAUAAAUGUGAGUUGAAUUAAAUCUGA